rnacentral:misc_RNA from 1 species
CGGUGCUGGCAUGUUUGAAAUGGAAAACGUGAAAGGAGGAAGUCCAUAUGGAGCUGGAACAUUCGCUGGUGAUGGCUCGAGACAGCCAUCUGAGCUUGAAUUGCAGCAGGCACAUCACCAAGGUAAAUACAUCGCUGCCAUCGCCAAGAAACUCAAGGGUGCUGCCUAAUUUCUCCUGCAAAGAUAUUCUUCUAAUACAUGAUUUAUCUGUGUGAUUGUCAAAGUCUACUUCUUUUAGUUGGGUGUGGAAUCUGUAUGUAUCUGAUUACUCUGUAAUUGUGUGUGUCAAAAGUACAAAAUAUAUGUGUUUAAUGGUUGCAAAUACAACACAACUUGAAUAUUGUUUAUAGUGAGUGAUAUAUUGAAUGUAAAGUCUUGUCUCUCAUUGCCUUUUGGAUUUGAUGUUCAGAAGAUGGAGUUAUGUUUGAUUAUGAAAACAUAUUUGAAGUUUUGUG